UUAAUUCCUGGUGUGCAGAUGCGCGUCCAUCUUACCUUAAAAGGACAGACAGCCCAUGAAAGAAGGGUGAUUAAUGAAUGCAGUUCACCUUUACAUUUGGAUCCACCUGCAGAAGCGACUGUAUUCAAGCUGCGUCUGUGGCGCUGGGCACUCAGUCUAACUUAGCUCCACACAAUGGAAAAAAACGAAACGGAGUCCGCCUCGAAGGCAUAGACGAGCUUCUCAUCACUCCUAAUGUCUCAUCACCGCGUUGACUGGCGUGCCUGAGGACAGAAGACAGUGUGACAUAGACACUGGCAGACCUGCAAGUUGACUUCCCAGUGGUAUGGCAGGUCUGAGUGUAUCUUUGGAGGUCAUGACCCUUCCACACCAUGAGCAGGACAAACAGGACUGAAGAACUGCAACAACACAUGGAAUGCUUCUUUUGUUUUGGUCCUACUACAUUUUGCUUGUGAAACAAAUCAAGAAAAUCCCCCUCCAAAAUAUGUGGAAGAAUUUGCAUAAAAAACAUUUGUAUUGUAAAAAAUGGUAAAAGCUCAGAAAAUUAUUUUCUUUGUGCUCGCUAUUUUACAAAGUGCUGGAAAUGUGAUUUAUUUUUAGGAUCUCAUUUGAACAUAUAUUUGUUUUGUCAUUCGCAACCACUUUGUCUCCAUUAUCUGUUCGUCCCUCACAAUAUAUUACACAAUAUAUUAUCACCCUGCGACUGGCUCAAUGUGGAAACGAUUGUUUCUGUAAAGAAAAAACAUAAUAAAGUGAAUGAUUAAGAGGGUGUCUGCUUGUAAGCGUU